rnacentral:rRNA from 1 species
UACGUAUGGUGCAAGCGUUAUCCGGAUUUACUGGGUGUAAAGGGAGCGUAGGCGGCGCGUUGAGUCUGAUGUGAAAACCCGAGGCUCAACCACGGGAGUGCAUUGGAAACUGGCGUGCUGGAGUGCCGGAGAGGUAAGCGGAAUUCCUAGUGUAGCGGUGAAAUGCGUAGAUAUUAGGAGGAACACCAGUGGCGAAGGCGGCUUGCUGGACGGCAACUGACGCUGAGGCUCGAAAGCGUGGGGAGCAAACAGG